ACGUCUAAAUGAAUGUUAUCUAAAUUACCCUAAGUAACGUGGAUUGCUAGACCAAACUUUACUUUUGACUACUUUCCCUAAACACAAUGCUCGCAAAAUUCUAGCUUGCCUAUUUUGACACCUUUCAACAAGCCCCGCUUUACCAAGUUCUGCAAAGUUUUCUCAUCAGGAUCUCCCAAACACAUAUUCUAUAGUCUGAUAAUCCCAAAAUCCAUUUUUUCUUUAGAAACAGUGGCUAUUGUCUUAAUAAUCUUAUCACCUUGUAAAUAGUACAAGUUAUUCUUCUUGAUACUUUUUAUUACCAUUAGGGCAUGUUUGGCGCGCGAGUUUGAGGGGGUAUGGAUUGUACAAAAUUUUCAGCACCAUGUUUGGUGCAGAUAAUGAAGGUGAAGGUAUGUAUAAAUAAAUCAAGUUUGGGUGGCUUAUAAAGACCCGCCCACCCCUCGGGUUUACGCGGGUCUUGCCACAUUUACUUUUUAUUUUUAUUUUUAAUUCAAUUCUUUAAUUUAUUUUAAUUAUGUAUUAAAUAUAAAUAUUUAAAUAAUGGCUGGCAACUUGACCACCGCCGGCCGCCGGCCGUUGUUAUUUUUCGGCAUCUUUUGACAUUAUUAUUAGUAUCAAUAGAAUUAUUAUCAUGAGCUCUACAUAACCGUAUCAAUAUCUCUGGCAACGGAGCUACCAUUUGUCGUAGAUCUACAAUUAAAGUUUUGAAAUUCAAAAUUUUAACUGUCGAUCUACGGUGAAGGGGAGGUCCGUUUUCGGUGAUUUUAGUAUCGUUGUGUAGAGCUCGAUAAGAGAAUUCCAAUGAUACUAAUUAUAACUUAAACAAACAAUGUUAGAAAUUUUCCGGUGGUGGUCAGUGGUGGCCAAUGGUGGCUGCUGGUGAUUAAUUUAUUUUUUAUUAAUAAAUUUAAAAAAUUAUAGUUUAAUAUAAUAUAAUAAUAUAAAAUAUUAAAAUACACAAUACAUUCCAUACUUACACCAAACAAAGGUUAAUGUAUUAUUUAAUACAUUCUAAAACAAUACAAUCCAUUACAAACCAGUUCAGUCCACUACAAUCCAAUCUACCAAACACAACCUUAGGGCACUAGAAAAAACUUUAAGAACUCCAUCUUGUAUAGUCACAGUAAAACCUUUAGAUUCUAGGACUCUCAAAGAGAUGAGAUUCUUCUUAAGAUUUGUUAUAUACCAGAUAUAUGUUAAAAAUCUUGUAUAUCUAUCAUGGCACUUCUAGUGGAUUGAUCAUAUCCUGACUUUUUGCAAGGUGUCAUUGUUGCCCAUUUAAACAACACCAUCGUUUUGUUCUACAAAAUUAAAGAACUAGUCAUUAUUAGGACGCAUAUGAUAAGUAUAACCCGACUCCAAAAUUCCCUCAUUUGAGUGAGAUUUUAAAAUAUUGAUCAACAAGAAUUCUAACUCGUCAUUUUCGUAUUUAACAACACAGACAUCUAAAGUUGCAUUUGAAGAAGAUUUACCAUUUUCUUUCUUUUUCAGCUUUGGGCAAUUUUUCUUCCAAUGCCCUUUUUCAUGACAAAAGGCACAUUCAUCUUUAGCAAGUUUACCCUUUGAACAAGAUUUUCUCCUUUUCAUGGGAUUUUGAUUUUGAGCAUGACCUCUUGCAGUGUAGGUUUCUACUGUUGAAGUACUUUCAUGUUCCUUCUGGUCUUUCUUUUGAAUCUCAUUAUUGUGCAAAGCAGCACAUACUUUAUCAAAAGUAAUUUUAUCCUUUCUAUAAGUAUUGUAGUAAUACUUUGAUCAUAUUUAAUUAAAAAGGAAGAUACAAGCGAAAUAAAUUUAUCUUAAUCCUUGAUGAAUUCUUUAAGGUUUAUCAACUUAGUUACCAACUUAUUAAAAUCUGUAACAUGAUUUUACAUAGUUGUACCUAGCUGAUACUGGAAGUGAAACAACUUUUUCUUUAGAUAUAGUUGAUUAUGGCAACUUUCAAUUAAGAAUUGUUGACAUAAAUAUAUACAUAAGAUUGAUUUUGAUGAUAAAAAACAAGAUUAAAAAUGAUCCAGUCUUUAAAUUGAUUAGAUUUCAUAGGCUGUAUAAUGUUUUGGAUAAGAUUAAGGUUCUAGAAACAAAUGGAUAACCAUUAAGUUUUAAAAGGCAAACCGAUAACGUAUGGUUGAGUUAUUGUCAGCUUCUAGAAAUUAAUAGUUGACCAUUUAUAAUAAGACGACUAACCGAUAAAUACCAGAAAAUAAUUUAUUUGAAGACAAAAACUGAUAUUAGCAAAUGACAAGCUGACUUCGAAUAGAUGAGCUUUUGGAAUUAAACGGUAAAUUGUUACACGAAAACGACAAGCCAACUUUGAUCAAUGAACUCUUUGAAAUUAAACAGUAAAUCGAAAACUUCAAACGAUGAUUCGAUAAUUCAAAUUUCAACGUAACGAUUACUUAGCACAAGUCAGAAUGGCAAAUCGACUGAAGUUAAUAGAAAUCCGAGAAUGUACUAAAAGUGAAUAACGACUAAUUUUCUUCUCCAACUAUAAAAGGCACCAUAAAAUACAAUUGUAAACAUGUUCUGCAAUUAUCAUCAAGCUUAUCAUUGUGUAUUUAAUCUAUUCUAAGCUACAAUUGUUUAUUCCUUUAUCAAAUCACACUUUGGGUAUCGUUCACGUAUACGGUACUAUUCACAAGAAACAGUAGAAGCGAUCCAAGAAUUUCGCAGUGCAAAGUAGGGAAUAGUGGUGUGAGUGAAGUGAUCGUGUGGUUUUGUACAUGUUUAGGAAAGUUCUGUUACAAAAGCGAUAAGUGUUAACAUGUAUAUGUUCAUAAUAUUGAUUUUGAUGAUAACAAACUUUAAUGUUUUUGAUUAAAUGUUGGAGCUAUUACAUUAAUAAAAGAAAGCCGUAUAAUCUUUCUUAUUUUGUUCAUAAAAGAUGGAUAUCUGCCAAACUUCAAUUGGAAAAUGACUUCCUGCAAUUUUUGGCUAAAACUGUGAUUUUGGAAGUAAACGGUUCACCGUUUACUUUGAAACGGUUCACCGUUUACUUUGAAACGGUUCACCGUUUACUUUGAAACGGUUAAUCGAUUAAAUCCAGAGAGUAACAAAUUGCUUAAGCUCUAACCGGUUAAGAAAUCUCAAAGAGAUGAGAUUCUUCUUAAGAUUUGUUAUAUACCAGAUAUAUGUUAAAAAUCUUGUAUAUCUAUCAUGGCACUUCUAGUGGAUUGAUCAUAUCCUGACUUUUUGCAAGGUGUCAUUGUUGCCCAUUUAAACAACACCAUCGUUUUGUUCUACAAAAUUAAAGAACUAGUCAUUAUUAGGACGCAUAUGAUAAGUAUAACCCGACUCCAAAAUUCCCUCAUUUGAGUGAGAUUUUAAAAUAUUGAUCAACAAGAAUUCUAACUCGUCAUUUUCGUAUUUAACAACACAGACAUCUAAAGUUGCAUUUGAAGAAGAUUUACCAUUUUCUUUCUUUUUCAGCUUUGGGCAAUUUUUCUUCCAAUGCCCUUUUUCAUGACAAAAGGCACAUUCAUCUUUAGCAAGUUUACCCUUUGAACAAGAUUUUCUCCUUUUCAUGGGAUUUUGAUUUUGAGCAUGACCUCUUGCAGUGUAGGUUUCUACUGUUGAAGUACUUUCAUGUUCCUUCUGGUCUUUCUUUUGAAUCUCAUUAUUGUGCAAAGCAGCACAUACUUUAUCAAAAGUAAUUUUAUCCUUUCUAUAAGUAUUGUAGUAAUACUUUGAUCAUAUUUAAUUAAAAAGGAAGAUACAAGCGAAAUAAAUUUAUCUUAAUCCUUGAUGAAUUCUUUAAGGUUUAUCAACUUAGUUACCAACUUAUUAAAAUCUGUAACAUGAUUUUACAUAGUUGUACCUAGCUGAUACUGGAAGUGAAACAACUUUUUCUUUAGAUAUAGUUGAUUAUGGCAACUUUCAAUUAAGAAUUGUUGACAUAAAUAUAUACAUAAGAUUGAUUUUGAUGAUAAAAAACAAGAUUAAAAAUGAUCCAGUCUUUAAAUUGAUUAGAUUUCAUAGGCUGUAUAAUGUUUUGGAUAAGAUUAAGGUUCUAGAAACAAAUGGAUAACCAUUAAGUUUUAAAAGGCAAACCGAUAACGUAUGGUUGAGUUAUUGUCAGCUUCUAGAAAUUAAUAGUUGACCAUUUAUAAUAAGACGACUAACCGAUAAAUACCAGAAAAUAAUUUAUUUGAAGACAAAAACUGAUAUUAGCAAAUGACAAGCUGACUUCGAAUAGAUGAGCUUUUGGAAUUAAACGGUAAAUUGUUACACGAAAACGACAAGCCAACUUUGAUCAAUGAACUCUUUGAAAUUAAACAGUAAAUCGAAAACUUCAAACGAUGAUUCGAUAAUUCAAAUUUCAACGUAACGAUUACUUAGCACAAGUCAGAAUGGCAAAUCGACUGAAGUUAAUAGAAAUCCGAGAAUGUACUAAAAGUGAAUAACGACUAAUUUUCUUCUCCAACUAUAAAAGGCACCAUAAAAUACAAUUGUAAACAUGUUCUGCAAUUAUCAUCAAGCUUAUCAUUGUGUAUUUAAUCUAUUCUAAGCUACAAUUGUUUAUUCCUUUAUCAAAUCACACUUUGGGUAUCGUUCACGUAUACGGUACUAUUCACAAGAAACAGUAGAAGCGAUCCAAGAAUUUCGCAGUGCAAAGUAGGGAAUAGUGGUGUGAGUGAAGUGAUCGUGUGGUUUUGUACAUGUUUAGGAAAGUUCUGUUACAAAAGCGAUAAGUGUUAACAUGUAUAUGUUCAUAAUAUUGAUUUUGAUGAUAACAAACUUUAAUGUUUUUGAUUAAAUGUUGGAGCUAUUACAUUAAUAAAAGAAAGCCGUAUAAUCUUUCUUAUUUUGUUCAUAAAAGAUGGAUAUCUGCCAAACUUCAAUUGGAAAAUGACUUCCUGCAAUUUUUGGCUAAAACUGUGAUUUUGGAAGUAAACGGUUCACCGUUUACUUUGAAACGGUUAAUCGAUUAAAUCCAGAGAGUAACAAAUUGCUUAAGCUCUAACCGGUUAAGAAAAACGAAUAAAACUAAUGUGUUUUGCAGGUUACUGGAAAUAAACGUUGAACCGUUAAUUACAAACAGCUAACUGAUAAAUUCCAGAAUGUCAUUUCGUGCUAAUCUUUAACCUUUUAGUGAAAACGGAUAGCUGACGUUUAUCUUGGAGGUCUCUGGAAUUUAACGGCGAAAGGGUAAGCCUAAACGGCAAACCGUUUAUUUGAAUUUUGGCCUAACGGUAACUUUGACCAAUUCAAAUGGUUAACCGUUAAUAGUUAACGGCGAACCGUUUUCGGGCAGACAAUUUGUAAUGGCUAUUUUUCAGCUCCAACUAUAAAUAAGCUCAUUCAAAUUCAAACAAGGGUUGAUCACAACAUUAUUAUUGAGCUUAUAUUCGUGAAUACAAUCUUCAAAGAGCUUUAAACACAUUCAUUCUUUAUCUAUUCACACAUUGGGCAUUGAUUUGUAAUCUUAAAUAUUGUGUGAGAGAAAAAUAAUUUGUAAUCUUUUAUUUUGAGUGAUUGUAAGUGUUGGGAUACACUUGGGUUAAGAGAUUGGGGAUAAUCUCUUGUUGUAAAGGUUUAUUGCACAACAAGAUCUUCUUGAAGAGGAGACUUUAGAUUAUUCGAAUGGUGGAACUAUAUCAGUAACCAACCAUAUCAACACUCUGAAAACUCUAUUUUCAUAACUUAUAUCAUUAGGUCAUAAAAUAAAGGAAACUAAAUGUAUGGAGCUUCUACUUCAAAGUUUACUUAACUCGUAUGAUCAACUCAUUAUCAACUUGACGAAUAAUAUCUUUAUUGAGUAGCUAGUCUUCAAUGAUGUUGCAGCCUCUGUAUUAGAGAAAGAGAGUCGACGCAAGAACAAAAAGACAAGUAAGCAAGUUCGCAGCAAACAGAAGUGCCAUCGAUUACCAGAGGGAGAUCAACGGAACAUGGCCUCAGUGGGAGUCACAAUCAUGGUAGAUAAAAAUCAAGAAGUAAGAAGAAUGUCAAAUGCUAAAACUGUGGUAAGAAAUGACAUGUCAAGAAAGAGUGUUGGAACAAUCAGAAGAGAAGAGAAUGUAAAGAUCCAGAGUCAUCAAAUGCUAAGGAGUGUGUAGCAAGUACCUCAGAUGAUGGUGAUGUCUUAUACAGUGAGGCAGCAAUGGUUUCAGAAGGCAAAAAAUAGUUAUAUAAUGUCUACCUCAUAGAUUUAGGAGCUACUUGGCACAUGACCUCUCGGAGAGAAUGGUUCCACAAAUAUGAACUUAUCUUAAGAGGAUAUAUAUAUAUAUAUAUAUAUCAUGCCUUGAAGAUUGCUGGUAUUGGUACGGUCAAAAUAAAUAUGUUUGAUGGUAUAAUUUAAAUAAUUGACCAGAUGGAGAUCAAUGGAACGUGGCCCCAGUGGGAGUCAUAAUCACAACAAGAUCUUCUUGAAGAGGAGACUUUAGAUUAUUCGAAUGGUGGAACUAUAUCAGUAACCAACCAUAUCAACACUCUGAAAACUCUAUUUUCAUAACUUAUAUCAUUAGGUCAUAAAAUAAAGGAAACUAAAUGUAUGGAGCUUCUACUUCAAAGUUUACUUAACUCGUAUGAUCAACUCAUUAUCAACUUGACGAAUAAUAUCUUUAUUGAGUAGCUAGUCUUCAAUGAUGUUGCAGCCUCUGUAUUAGAGAAAGAGAGUCGACGCAAGAACAAAAAGACAAGUAAGCAAGUUCGCAGCAAACAGAAGUGCCAUCGAUUACCAGAGGGAGAUCAACGGAACAUGGCCUCAGUGGGAGUCACAAUCAUGGUAGAUAAAAAUCAAGAAGUAAGAAGAAUGUCAAAUGCUAAAACUGUGGUAAGAAAUGACAUGUCAAGAAAGAGUGUUGGAACAAUCAGAAGAGAAGAGAAUGUAAAGAUCCAGAGUCAUCAAAUGCUAAGGAGUGUGUAGCAAGUACCUCAGAUGAUGGUGAUGUCUUAUACAGUGAGGCAGCAAUGGUUUCAGAAGGCAAAAAAUAGUUAUAUAAUGUCUACCUCAUAGAUUUAGGAGCUACUUGGCACAUGACCUCUCGGAGAGAAUGGUUCCACAAAUAUGAACUUAUCUUAAGAGGAUAUAUAUAUAUAUAUAUAUCAUGCCUUGAAGAUUGCUGGUAUUGGUACGGUCAAAAUAAAUAUGUUUGAUGGUAUAAUUUAAAUAAUUGACCAGAUGGAGAUCAAUGGAACGUGGCCCCAGUGGGAGUCAUAAUUAUAGUAGAUAAAAAUCAAGAAGUAAGAAGAAUAUCAAAUGCUACAACUGUGGCAAGAAAUGGCAUAUUAAGAAAGUGUGUUGGAAUAGUCAAAAGAGAAGAGAGGGUAAAGAUCCUGAGUCAUCAAAUGCUCAAGGGUGUGUAACAAGUACCUCAGAUGAUGGUGACGUCUUAUACAACGAGGCAACAAUAGUUUCAGAGGGCAAAAAAUAACUAUCUAAUGUAUGCCUCAUAAACUUAGAAAUUACCUGACACAUGACCUCUUGGAGAGAAUAGUUCUAUAAAUAUGAACCCAUCUCAGGAGGAUCUAUAUGGGUGAUGAUCAUGCCUUCGAGUUUGCUGAUAUUGGUACUGUUAAAAUAAAAAUGUUUGAUGGUACAAUUCGUACAAUUGAGGAAGUAUAAUAUAUCAAAAGCCCAAAGAAAAAUCUAUUUUCUUUGGGAUAAAUAGAUGGUAUUGGGUGCAAAAAUCAUGUUGAAAAUGGAAUCAUUAAGAGAGUCAAAGGCGCGCUUGUAUUGACGAAGGCGGAAAAGAUCAGUGCUAAUAUAUUCAUACUUAAAGGGGAAACACUACAAGAAAUUGGUGCAUAUGUUGCGUCAAAUGAGGAAGUGUCGGUGAUGAUGUAGCAUCUCAUACUUGGCCACAUGUCGAAACAUGGUUUGAAGAUUCUCUCUGAGCAAAAGUUGCUUUUAGGGCUCAAAUCAGUGAACUUACUGUUUUGCGAGCAUUGUGUUACAAGUAAGUAAUAUAGAUUGAAAUUUAGCAGAUCUCAUGCCAAAAGUAAAUAUAUUCCAGACUUAGUUCAUUCUGAUGUUUGAGAAUCGCUAGAUAUGUCCCUAAGAGGUGCAAAAUACAUGGUGACCUUUAUUGAUGAUUAUUCUAGGAAAUGUUGGGUGUACUUAAUAAAAAGUCAGAUGUAUUUCUGGUGUUUAAAGAAUUAAAAGCGUCGGUUGAACUUGAAUUUGAGAAAAAAGAUAAAGUGCUUGAGAAUAGAUAAUGGUGGAGAGUAUAUAGAUGACGAGUUUCUUGCAUACUUCCUUAACAAAAUGGAGUAGCGGAGGGAAUAAAUAGGACUCUUACAAAAAGAAUAAGAGCUAUGUUGAGUACUGUUUGUUUACCCAACUUAUUUUGGGUAGAAGCAGUCAAAACUGCCUGUUAUGUGGUUAAUUGGUCGCCACCCACAGCAAUCGAGUUGAAAACUCCAACGAAGACGUGGAUAGGAAAGUAAGCUGAUUACUCUCAUUUACAAGCAUUUGGAUGUCCUAUGUAUAUGAUGUACAAUGCCUAAGAAAGAACAAAGCCAGAUCCAAAAUCUAGGAAAUGUAUCUUCUUUGGGUGCACUAAUGGAAUAAAGGUGUAUCGUCUGUGGGAUCAUACUGCCCACAAGAUAGUCCUCAUCAAAGAUGUUAUCUUUGUAGAAGAUCAAUUGUAAAGAAGAAAUAAGGAUUAUAGCACUGUAAAGGAAAAGACAGAAACUGUACCAGUAUGUGUUGAAAAUAAUUUGGAAAAAGAAGAUUCAAAUUCUUCUGAAGUAGCACCAGAGUAUGAGGAAUAGAUACCAGUCGAGUCAGAGGCUUCAAAAGUUCGUCGAUCAACUAGUAAGAGACGACUGCCAGCGUGGCACUUAAAGUAUGUUACAGAGAUUAAUGUUGCACACUGUCUUCUAACAGAGGAAUGGAGAGCCAUCAACUUUCCAUGAAGCUUUAAACAAUCCCAAUGAUGCUUUGUGGAUGACAACAAUAUAGGAAGAAAUUGAAGCUUUACACAAAAAUAAGACAUGGAAACGUGUACCACUAUCAAGUGGAAGAAAUGCCAUCGGAAAUAAAUAGAUCUACAAGAUCAAGCGUGAUGGCAAUGACCAAGUAGAGCGAUGUCGUGCAAGAUUGGUAGUGAAAGGAUAUGCUCAGAAAGAAAGCAUUGAUUUCAACGAGAUAUUUUCUCCGGUGGUUUGACUCACAACAGUCAGAGUAGUCUUGGCAAUGUGUGCUACAUUUGACUUACAUCUAGAACAUUUAGAUGUGAAAACUAUGUUUUUUCAUGAAGAAUUGAAGAAGAAAUUUAUAUGCUCUAACCAGAAGGUUUUCCUGAAAGGGCAAGGAGAACUUGGUUUGUAGGUUGAACAACUCUCUCUAUAUGGUCUCAAACUGGCGCCGGGGAAUUGAUAUAAGAGAUUUAAUUCCUUCAUCAUAAGCAUUGGAUACAACAGACUCAGUCAGACCAUUGUGCAUAUUACAAGAGGUUUGAAGAUAAUGAUUUCAUUAUUUUGUUGUUGUAAGUGGAUGACACAGUUGGGUAGCAGGCCCCAACAAAGAUUGAGUCUAAAAGUUAAAGGUACAGUUAGGUAUGGAAUUUUAAAUGUAGGACUUGAGACCAGUAAACAAGAUUCUAGGGAUGCAAAUUCACCGAGACAGAAAUAAUAGGAAAAGAAUUACUUAAAGAAAAUCUUGCGAGCACUUUAACAUGCAAGAUUGUAAGCCAAUUUCUACCUCACUUCCUGUUAAUUUCAAGUUAUCCUCAAGUAUGUGUUCUAGUAAUAAAACAGAGACGAAUAAGAUGUCUCGAGUACUGAAUGCAUCAGCGGUGGAAAGUUUAAUGUUUUAUGAUUUGUUCAAGACCAGAAAUUGUACAAGCAGUGGGUCGAUACAUGGCGAAUCCUGGUGAACAACAUUGGAAAACUAUAAAGAGGAUUCUGAGAUACACCAAAGGAAUGUCAGAUGUUGCCUUAUGUUAUGGAGGAUCAGAAUUUACUGUCAGGGGCUAUGUAGAUUCAGAUUUUGUAGAAGACCUUGAUACAAGGAAAUCUACAACUGGCUAAGCUGGGUUUCAAAACUUCAAACCAUUGUAGCUUUAUUUACAACAAAAGCAGAAUACAUGACAACUGCACAAGCUUGCAAGGAAGCUAUUUGGAUGCAAAGGUUAUUGGAGAAACUCGAGAACAAACAAGAGAAAUUUCAUGUGUUUUGUAACAACCAGAGUGCCUUGCACAUUGCAAGGAAUUCAACCUUUCAUUCCAGGAUAAAGCACAUAGAGGUACAAUACCACUUUAUUCGAGAAAUAGUGGAAGAUGGAAAUAUAAAUUUACAGAAGAUCCAUACCAAGGAUAACCUAGAAGUUAUUACCAAGCCAAUUAAUGCUGACAAGUUUGUAUGGAGUAGAUCCUCUUGUGGCCUAUCGGAGACGUAAGUGUUGAGUGUUAGAAAAUGUAUAUUUAUAAAGGAGAAAAUUGUCAUUUUACACUUCAAGUUCCACUAACAUUCCUACUUUUAUGUAUUUAAGUUUCUUAUCAUUUAAUUAUGUGUGUUGUAUUAUAAUUAAGUAUUUUAUGUAUUUCAGGGGCACCAUAGUCAUUUCACAAUGAACGAGAGAUUAGACGGCAAAACAGACAUCACCUUUGAACUCAGGACGAUCGAAAACCUUAGGAGGAGCAUAAAAGGAAAAAUGACACUGUUCACAUAUACGGUACUAUUCACAUGUACGGUACUGUCUACGUUACUGUUCACGACACUGUUCACAUAGACGGACCGAUGAUGUGGCAUUGACCGAUGAUGUGGCAUUGACUGAUGAGGUGUCACGAUCUUGUUGGACUAAAAUUCUUAUGUAUUGUUGAUUAAUGACGUGACAACAUAUCAGUAGACCAAAAAUCUCACGUACGGUAUAUGCAUUACACAGGAUUAUAUUUUCAACCAAACCGCGUCAUUGUUCAAGCCGGG
rnacentral:lncRNA from 1 species